rnacentral:rRNA from 1 species
CCUACGGGAGGCAGCAGUGAGGAAUAUUGGUCAAUGGACGAGAGUCUGAACCAGCCAAGUAGCGUGAAGGAUGACUGCCCUAUGGGUUGUAAACUUCUUUUAUAUGGGAAUAAAACAUGGUAUGCAUACCCUCUUGUAUGUACCAUAUGAAUAAGGAUCGGCUAACUCCGUGCCAGCAGCCGCGGUAAUACGGAGGAUCCGAGCGUUAUCCGGAUUUAUUGGGUUUAAAGGGAGCGUAGGUGGAUUGUUAAGUCAGUUGUGAAAGUUUGCGGCUCAACCGUAAAAUUGCAGUUGAAACUGGCAGUCUUGAGUACAGUAGAGGUGGGCGGAAUUCGUGGUGUAGCGGUGAAAUGCUUAGAUAUCACGAAGAACUCCGAUUGCGAAGGCAGCUCACUGGACUGCAACUGACACUGAUGCUCGAAAGUGUGGGUAUCGAACAGGAUUAGAUACCCCAGUAGUC